UGAUCACGGUACCAUAGCAACUUUGUCUACACUGGUUUCCCGGUGUCGCUAUUGACCGCCGAACAGUUUUAAUCAAAACUACCUGACCUCAAGGGCAGGUGGGAUUAGUGGAAUUGAAGACAUGACAUCACAGGUCACCAUUCUUGAAAGCGUUUUUCACCGAAAAAUCGAGAAACGCGACGGAAAAACACGAGGCAAUUAACAUGGCGUAGCCGCAAAUCCGAAGCAUAACUGGAAUCAGUCAAAAGAGAAACCUUGAACAAAAGUUCUCGUCGCACUGUCCAAAAUGGCUAGAAUUUCUAACGUAGCUGCUUUCUUCUUGAUUUGGAGCUGCGGGUUUUGUUAUGCAGUCCAAGUGUUCGUCAAAGGUGCGCACGGAAUGGUCUCGUGGAAAGACUCGCCUACUUGGAGGGACAGAUCAGGUAGGCUUACAUAGAAUACACAUCUUGUUCUACGUUAACGUUUUUUUCAGAUAAUUUUUUUGGAAAAUAAAUGAAAUGUUUAAACUGUUUACAAAAAGAAAGAGAAAAAAAAUAGUUUCUAUCCUUUACGAUGAGGCAAUGAUUUGCUUACAAGGCAAUGGGUUAUAUGUUGAUAGUCGACGUUUACAAACGUCAUUUGCUCAUCAGAGUAAUUUUUUCCUAAUCAGAAUAAUAAUGUUAAUUUUU